GGGAAUUUGAAGUGCCUGACUGGGUGGCCGGGAGACGGAGUCUCGGGGUCGCGUGCACCUGGGCGGCCAGGGAGGCUCCAGUGCCCGGGAGAAAGGCAAGAAAACUGAGGCACAGAGAGAUUGUCACACAGCCAGUAAGGUUUCUUUCAAAAUGAAGAUUCACGCAGUGAUUGUAACUGUCUUGAUGAGCCAGGUUGUAGUUUACAAAGUUUUAUUCCAGAAGGAAAAAAGCCACUUCACCUAGAAAUUUUGCAAACAAAUCAACUUUUACUCUGUGAGUAAUCCAGGGCCUAUCAAGACUACAUUUUAGUUGACUGCAAGGCCUCUGAGGCACGGGAAUUCACAGCUGAGUUCUUGGAGAAGGUCCUUGAGCCAUCUGGAUGGCGGACAGUCUGGCACAUGAUGUGCUCAAGGUGCUGCUUGAGGCCACAGAUGUGGACAUUUCAGCCUUGAAGGCAGUGGUGCAGCUUGCUGAGCCAUACCUCUGUGAAUCUUGAGCGAGUACUUUCACCUUGGAGUGUGUGAAAGAGCUCCUCGAGCUGAAGGAACAUCAGUUGCCCCUGAAGGAGCUGGGUGGUGUUUGAUGAUUCUGGAGACAGCACUUGUAACUUGUAACUGAGCAUGUCAGCUAGGAAGGAGGUAUCUGGUCAGAGAAGGUGUUUUCUGAGGCUGCUUCCUGGAUCCCUAGGGUUUGUGUUCCUGCCAUUCAGCCUAUUUGGCAGUUAUUUCCACCUGUACAAACAGACCCUUUGUCCCUUACAUGAGAAAGAAAGCCCACACCUGGAUUCAUAUUAAUAGGGUGCUGGCAUAGAAAUAUAUCCUGGGAGUAAGUUUGGGUUCCCUGCGUGAGAAUGGACCCGCUGUUGCAAGGAAGGGCUCCUCAUUAAGCUGAGCAUUGGCCGAGACACUUGCUUUCUAAAGUGUAAUUAUACUUUAAUCUGGGGCUUCAAAGAGGAGGAAGAAAGGAAGAGAAUGCAAGACGAGUGCACCAAAUGCAGUGUCACAUGUACAGCCUUCUUCUCAGAGUGUCUUCUUAUCCCAAUUACA
rnacentral:lncRNA from 1 species